rnacentral:rRNA from 1 species
UACAGAGGUCUCAAGCGUUGUUCGGAUUCAUUGGGCGUAAAGGGUGCGUAGGUGGCAUGGUAAGUCGGAUGUGAAAUCCCGGGGCUCAACCCCGGAACUGCAUUCGAUACUGCUGCGCUAGAGUACUGGAGAGGAGAUUGGAAUUUACGGUGUAGCAGUGAAAUGCGUAGAUAUCGUAAGGAAGACCAGUGGCGAAGGCGGAUCUCUGGACAGUUACUGACACUGAGGCACGAAAGGCCAGGGGGAGCAAAACGGG